GGAAACUAUUAGAACGGUUUUCCCACUGAGAUUGCUGCAUGUUUAGUGGCUGUAACAUUACCUUCCCUUUCCUCACCCGCUGAAGCAAACAACGAUAUUCAGACCCAGGCUUUUUCACAUUGUGUCCUUCCCAGUAUCGCUGAUGCUGUAGAGCUCCCUGGCACAUGGAGUACAAAAAGCCUGAGUUCCUCUGUCUGUAGCUGACUGGCAGGCACAGGGAACCUGUAGGGCUUGUACUUUCCUGAUGCGCAAUUAGAGCCAGUGGGCUGGAAACAGAUGGUUAUGCUAUGGUAAAAUUACUGGCGUAAGAUGUAAACAGUUCCAUCCAAGCUAUAUUUUGUUUCUGUGCGCAGAGGCAAAAAGGAAAAACUGGGAUAGAGCCCAAACUGGGUUGGUUUGCAGCAUUCUCAAGGAUUUUCUCCAGCGCAAUUGCACCUAGGCAGUGGCUCUGUGCAGGUUUUGGGGAGGAAGGGAAGUGGGGUAUUUACUCAGAGAUGAAAGCCUUCUUUCAUCUAUUCUGCAGAUAUUCAAAGGAAGGCUCGUGCUUUCAGGGGGAAGCUGUUGCUCCUCAAGAGAAGGACAGCAUUGCCAAGCAGGAUAUGGUGCUGCAUUGGGAGUUACAAAUGUUGCUGUCUCAGACUCAGAACAGAGCCUGAAGGAAAGUUAAAAAUUCAGUAAUUCCAAGAAACGAGGGGGAUGUUGCACUGUCACAGCAAGCCCUGCAGAUCCAUGCAGGUCUCCAGCCCACCAGUCCCUUCUUACCUUCAGCCACCAGAACUCAGGCUUACACACUGCAAUUUAUAUUGAUUUUUCUCACCCUGAACUGUUGCUAAUGAAAGGGGCUGGAAAACCUGGGCCACCCAAGGAUUCUGUGUCCAAGAUCAAAGUUCAGCAUUCAGUUGCAGAUGAGCAGACAGCUGGGGGUCUCCACACCAUUCACCUGUCCUUUGCAUCCACAGCAAAUUUCUCAGCAACUCAGGCCCUUGACUUGGUAUCAUCUCUUGCAAGCAAAGGAAAGAUCUCUUUGAAGUAGUCAUUUCUUUUUCUCCCCUCUAAAAAGCAAACUUACUUUUCCAGAAAUAGAACAUUGCCCUCUGUAAACUUUUUGUUUGUUUGUUUCGCUCUUUGCUUCUUUUUCUUUCUUUCUCAUGAGUUUGGGACAAAUUUUUACAGUUGUCCUCAGAUUUGAAACAGCUGUUGCCACACUGUGCUUUUUGUCAUCUUUCAGAGGUUGUUGGAACAUUAUUUUUACAUAAAUAUUUACUAAAUUUAAUGGUGGUUUAAAAGAGAAAAGGAUGCUUGCUGAGUAUUUCUAUUUUUCUCCUUCUCAUAUUUAUCUGGUGCUUGCCCAACCAACACUUUCCCAAAGCAUGAGAAUUGGUCCCUGUGAUGAAUCACCCUGUCUAACAAGGCUCAAAAGCCCUUCUAUGCCAUUAAAUCAGCCUGAUGAUCCAGAUUUCCUGAUAUAUUGUUCUGUGCUUCAGCUGAAAAUAGGUGAAGUCAAUAAAGUUAACCCAGACCUCCUGCAUAAGAAAAGGUGAUGUGGGGGAUGGAGAUGAAAUUGUUCACACUCAUGGCACUGCAGCACAAAUCUGGAAGGUUUCUAAUUCUUAUCUUACUACCUUUAUGAGUGUGCCUGAAACCAGACUGCCGCGACUGCCCACUUUCAGCACAGCAGAGCUUGUGGCUGCUUUGGCACCCAGGUUUAUUCUUCUUGUGCCUCGAAUUGCAGAGGAAUGGAA